AAAUACAUAGGGCCAGAACAGGACGCGAAACAACUAUUGAUAGAGGUUGGAGGCAGCCGUAUGCUUGCUUGACCAAGGUUGUUCUCUCAUUUGUGACAUGCUACAGACAAAUAAUUCAAUCUAAAAUGCACAUCAUGGCUCAAAGGAAUAAAACUGCACAACAAAUAAUUUAAUCAGAAAUGCACAUCAUGGCUCAAAGAAAUAAAAUGAGUGAGCUAAAAGAGAACUGAGGCACCCUGCAAGGGAACUAAUACCGUUUUGAACAUGUUUGAAAUAGGCACCAGACCAUGGGAGAUUUUGGAGAAGAGCCUGUACAUCAUACAAAGAUCCUC
rnacentral:lncRNA from 1 species